rnacentral:rRNA from 1 species
GAUGAACGCUGGCGGCGUGCCUAAUACAUGCAAGUCGAGCGAACGGACGAGAAGCUUGCUUCUCUGAUGUUAGCGGCGGACGGGUGAGUAACACGUGGAUAACCUACCUAUAAGACUGGGAUAACUUCGGGAAACCGGAGCUAAUACCGGAUAAUAUUAUGAACCGCAUGGUUCAAAAGUGAAAGACGGUCUUGCUGUCACUUAUAGAUGGAUCCGCGCUGCAUUAGCUAGUUGGUAAGGUAACGGCUUACCAAGGCAACGAUGCAUAGCCGACCUGAGAGGGUGAUCGGCCACACUGGAACUGAGACACGGUCCAGACUCCUACGGGAGGCAGCAGUAGGGAAUCUUCCGCAAUGGGCGAAAGCCUGACGGAGCAACGCCGCGUGAGUGAUGAAGGUCUUCGGAUAGUAAAACUCUGUUAUUAGGGAAGAACAUAUGUGUAAGUAACUGUGCACAUCUUGACGGUACCUAAUCAGAAAGCCACGGCUAACUACGUG